ACGAACGCUGGCGGCGUGGAUAAGACAUGCAAGUCGGACGGGAUUACUUUUGGUAGCAAUACCGAAAGUGAUUCAGUGGCGAACGGGUGCGUAACACGUGGGCAAUCUACCGAGAAGUGGGGGAUAGCUCGCCGAAAGGCGAAUUAAUACCGCAUCUGAUCGGAGGCGACAUCGCUUCGAAAUCAAAGGUGGCGCAAGCUACCGCUUUUGAGGAGCCCGCGGCCUAUCAGCUUGUUGGUGAGGUAACGGCUCACCAAGGCAUUGACGGGUAGCUGGUCUGAGAGGACGACCAGCCACACUGGAACUGAGACACGGUCCAGACACCUACGGGUGGCAGCAGUCGAGAAUUUUUCUCAAUGGGGGAAACCCUGAAGGAGCGACGCCGCGUGGAGGAUGAAGGUCUUCGGAUUGUAAACUCCUGUCAUUGGGGAACAAUGGUUACGCGUUAACUGCGCGUGACUUGAUAGUACCCGAAGAGGAAGAGACGGCUAACUCUGUGCCAGCAGCCGCGGUAAUACAGAGGUCUCAAGCGUUGUUCGGAUUCAUUGGGCGUAAAGGGUGCGUAGGCGGCGCGGUAAGUCGGGUGUGAAAUUUCGAGGCUUAACUUCGAAACUGCAUUCGAUACUGCCGUGCUUGAGGACUGGAGAGGAGACUGGAAUUUACGGUGUAGCGGUGAAAUGCGUAGAUAUCGUAAGGAAGACCAGUGGCGAAGGCGGGUCUCUGGACAGUUCCUGACGCUGAGGCACGAAGGCCAGGGGAGCAAACGGGAUUAGAUACCCCGGUAGUCCUGGCAAUAAACGGUGCACGUUUGGUGUGGGAGGAUUCGACCCCUUCUGCGCCGGAGCUAACGCGUUAAACGUGCCGCCUGGGGAGUACGGUCGCAAGAUUAAAACUCAAGAAAUUGACGGGGGCCCGCACAAGCGGUGGAGUAUGUGGCUUAAUUCGAUGCAACGCGAAGAACCUUACCUGGCCUUGACAUGCAUCUCUAAGCUGGUGAAAGCCAGUGAGUCCCGAAAGGGACAAUUUGCACAGGUGCUGCAUGGCUGUCGUCAGCCCGUGUCGUGAGAUGUUGGGUUAAGUCCCGCAACGAGCGCAACCCCUGUGAACUGUUGCCACCAAGCCGUGAGGCUUGAGCACUCUGUUCAGACUGCCCUGUGAAACGGGGAGGAAGGUGGGGACGACGUCAAGUCAGUAUGGCCCUUACGGCCAGGGCUGCACACGUACUACAAUGCCCAGUACAGAACGAUCCGAGACCGCGAGGUGGAGGAAAUCUAUCAAAACUGGGCCCAGUUCGGAUUGAAGUCUGCAACCCGACUUCAUGAAGCCGGAAUCGCUAGUAAUGGCGCAUCAGCUACGGCGCCGUGAAUACGUUCCCAGGCCUUGUACACACCGCCCGUCACAUCAUGGAAGUCGCUUGUAGCCGAAGCCGGCGCGCUAACCGCAAGGAGGCAGCCGCCUACGCUAUGAGCGGUAACUGGGAUG
rnacentral:rRNA from 1 species